rnacentral:rRNA from 1 species
AACCAGCACCUCAAGUGGUCAGGAUGAUUAUUGGGCCUAAAGCAUCCGUAGCCUGUUCUGUAAGUUUUCGGUUAAAUCUAUGCGCUCAACGUAUAGGCUGCCGAAAAUACUGCAGAACUAGGGAGUGGGAGAGGUAGACGGUACUCGGUAGGAAGGGGUAAAAUCCUUUGAUCUAUUGAUGACCACCUGUGGCGAAGGCGGCCACCUGGACUGAUACUGACACUGAGGUGCGAAAGCGUGGGGAGCAAACAGG